UACGGGGGGAGCAAGCGUUGUUCGGAUUUACUGGGCGUAAAGGGCGCGUAGGCGGUCGUGACAAGUCACUUGUGAAAUCUCCGGGCUUAACUCGGAAAGGUCAAGUGAUACUGUCGGACUAGAGUACAGAAGGGGCAACUGGAAUUCUCGGUGUAGCGGUGAAAUGCGUAGAUAUCGAGAGGAACACCUGCGGCGAAGGCGGGUUGCUGGGCUGAUACUGACGCUGAGGCGCGAAAGCUAGGGGAGCAAACGGG
rnacentral:rRNA from 1 species